CCGUUCCGCUCCUGCAGCCGGGGGACUGAAGGGGAGGAGCGCGGAGUCCCUCGUUCGGCCCAGCGGCGCGAGCGGCUCGGCUCCGCGUGGGGAACGUUAACGGCUGGUUUGGGUUUAGCGGAGCGAAGGGCUGUCGGCGAGCGGCCUGUGCACAGCGCGGCUGCCAGCCUCUCGGCGUUCCCUCUAGCUGGGGUCCUGGGAGGAGCUGCCCUGGCACCAUAACCCCUCGCCCCCCGUCUUCCCUUGGCCCUGCUUCCUUCAUCCCGUCUGCUUUUCUAUGCCUCAUUGCAGAGGUUUCCCUUGUCUCUCAGGGUGGUCCCACUGUCUGGGCUGACGGGCUUCAUUAAUCCCCUACGCCGGGCCUCUGCGCCUGCGAGACCAGGGGCCGGGGUGCCUCUCGCAACAAGCGCUCGUGAUGGAGGCGCCAUCUCGCUCCAGACCCCUCUACCCCGCCUGAAAGCCCAAGUACAGGCGCGCGCGGGCCUCUCCGUGCCUCCAACUUGGACAGACCUGCCUAACCAGCGGUGAGUGGCAAACCAGGGGAGACUGACCGCGCUUGGGAGGGCUGCCUGCGCCGGGCUCCACGCACCGAACCGCUGCAGAGCUGAGCUCCCCGGCAAGCGGCAGGUAGAGGCUCUGUUGUGCUGCUGUUGCUUCUGUGUACAGCUAGAUAACUUACAGAUAGGAAAAGGAAAAGAAGAGAGACUAAUGCAACUGGAAACUGCUAGGUCCUGAGCGUGGCUUUUAAUGGACUUGUCUACAAUUGUCUAGGCGGAGUGGAAGAGCUUGAGGGCGGCAAGGGAAAGUAACGAUCAGUUAAAGCACAUGUAAAAAGAGAAAAGUGCGGGGUGGGAGGCGGCGUAGAAUAAAUGAAACCCUUAGAAGUCUUUAAAAAUUUCAAAAUACAUAUCAGAUGUUAAGGGUCUUCCCCCUGCAAUUAGCAGUAUAUGACAGUGUACCAGAUUUCAAGAUGCAAAAAACCAUAGAAACUAAUAAAGAAAAGGAGGACUUGUGGCACCUUAGAGACUAACAAAUUUAUUUGAGCAUAAGCUUUCGUGAGCUCACUUCAUCGGAUGCAUCUGAUGAAGUGAGCUGUAGCUCAGGAAAGCUUAUGCUCAGAUAAAUUUGUUAGUCUCUAAGAUGCCACAAGUCCUCCUUUUCUUUUUGCGAAUACAGACUAACAGGGCUGCUACUCUGAAACAUAGAAACUAAUGUUGUUAGUCAAUUUAACAAGCAUCAGUAUUCUAUUUAAAUAUAAAUUAGCUGAUGUGGUGAUAUCUAUGUGAUAACCUGCAUUUAACAUGGAACUUUGCUUUCUCACCUGCACUCAGGCCACAAAAUACCUGCUGCUAUUUCUAACAUUCCAGAACUCUGAGUAACUUCCAAGGGCUGCCAUUUUCCUCCAAAAUCAACCUAUCACAAAAUGUUUCCUCCUUUUCCCCUGGAAAUAAAAAUUUCUCUCACAGUUCACACCAGUCUGUAGUAAAGGAUGGGCCAUAUUCAGUCCUGGAAUGCUGAUAGCUGCCUCGUAUGGAACAGAAGAGCUCUGUGUAGCUCAAAAGCGUGUAUCUUUCACCAACAGAAGUCGGUCCAAUAAAAUAUAUUACCUCACCCAUCUUGUGUCUCUAAUAUCCUGGGGCCAACCUGGCAACAAAAACACGGCAAACAGGUUUUUCAUGAAAUUUACAGACUACUUGAGCAUAAUUGACGAUGCCAUCAGAACCUCCUCAAUGGAAUUAUAUCAUCAUUAUGCAUAUUUGGGGUACAUUGUUCCUCAUAUUAAUAGUAGUCUUGCUAAUAACAUUUGUAAUUAGUAUGUAUUCAGUUACUAGUAAAUAAAUGUUCGAAUGCAUACUAAUUACAAAGCCUAUUAAUUAUAAGUCCUAGCAUUGUAUUUGCUUUUGACUCUUAUUUCUAAAUUUGCUAAAUAUUUUUAUUUAUUGAUUUGAUGCUUGAAAUGAGCCCUUUUUUUGUUUUGUUUUUGUUUUGGUCCGUUUACACAUUUGAUGUCAAAUUCUGAAUUCAGGCUGUUUCUAUGCCCCCAAAAUGUGGUGAAGGAGAACUAUGGGAUGCAACAGUUGUAACUCAAUUCGAGCUCCCCCAAAAAACUUCAAAGUCAACUUUUCUCAAGCCUGUGCAUUGAGGUCUGAACCAGAGUUGUGGGACAAAAGGUAUUUCCACACAUUGCUCAGACUCUGCAACUUCUGUGCACACUCAGCAAUGUGGGUUACUUAUGUUCCUUGCACAACUAAUCUACAUGGACAACUGAGUACUCCUGGCCUGCCCAAAGCAAUGAUAGAAAUUUAAUACAGGCAGUGUUGCCAAUUCACACGAUUUUAUCAUAUGUCUUCUUAUAUUUGGUACUAUUCUAAAAUCUCCAGCUCCUGGAAUAAUUUGAUUACAUGAGAAUCUCAGCCUUCAAUUAAAAUAAAUAAAUAGAAAUCUAGCCCUCAUAAUUGUGGAGAAUAGUUUGAAAACAUGAUAUAUAGAGAAAAAUAUAAAGAAUCCAAAAAUAAUUUUUAAAAUCAGAUGAUUUUAAAGCCAAUAGUUAUAUUUGACACUGGCUUACGAUUUUUCAACUUGAGGUUGACGUCACUUUUACCCUAAAAUGGGCUCAAAUUAAUAUAGUAAAGAGAGGAAGACUUUGGUACUUUAAUCAAUAGACAAUUUUUCUGGGAAUCUCUUUAUUAAAUACCCUUUUAGAAAAGGACUUUCCCCAGUCCUCAAGUAUUUUUCAUUAUAAGAACUUUCACUGGUACACCAUCCCAGAGAGAAGAUUUAAUUACUUUUCAUCUUUGGAGAUUUGGGGUAAAAUCCUGGCCUCAGUGAAUUAUAAAUUAGAAUUAGCCUGCUUUUCUAACAGAAUGCAAAUAAUAUCAUAGAUUCCAGUAAGGUUUUGUUAUAAGGAUCAUAGUAUAAGUUUAUUUUACCCUAAACAUUUUAAUCAGGUCACGCCAGCCAAAUAUAUUUUUCACGAAAUCCACAGAAUUUAAGAAUCGGAGAAGAACUGAUCUCAAAGUAGCAGUAUUAGUCAAAAGAGAAGUAAAAAGCAGUAACAACUUCAGCACUAAAGUUAGCAGAGAGAAAAUGUGUGUUUGUGACAGUUUUGUUAACGUAACAGUAUAAAUUGAGACAUACAGAUAGAAAAAUGAGGUUAGUUGAGUGGAUGGUAGGUUUGAGCAACUAGCAAAAGUGGCCAAACUGAGGGCUGCCGGUUAAUACUGUUACCUGUCUAAAUAUACUUAGAAAUUUCAUUGAAACUUAAAAAAAAAAUCUUACUAAUUUUAAGAAAAAGAAUCAUGGUUAAAAAUCAGAUUAAAGGGGGGAAGCCAUAAACCUCAAGUUAAAGUGUACUGAUUAGAAGCCCAAUCCUAGAGCUACAGCCCCCAUUACUCAUUGCAGCAGCCCAGCACCUCUCAGGGUCAGGCUACAGACCACAUGACUAAGCUAGACCAAAGCAAAGAAAACAAGACCUUCUCCAUGUUGUGCAUACAAGUCAUGCAGUUCUAUCUUUUAUUCACUAGAGGUGCCUCGUUGCCCCCCCUUUUUUUUUUCUUGUAUUCAUUACAAGGAAGUAAAUCUUUUCCCUCAAGAAAUCUCUUCAAGGAGUAAGUCAUCUUCAUAAUUUGCAGGAGGUUUUUUUUCAGAUGUUUCAUGUUAAAUAUUUCUUUAUUCUGAUAAUUUCCUUUAUAUUUAAGGUCGCUCUAGUUAGGGGCUCUGUGGUCUUCAUGGGGACCAAAAGUUAGUUUUGCUUAGAAAGUUUGAAAAACGUGGAAGUUACCCCUACAGAUGAACCAACCUGGGGGCACUGAUAGCCUUGAAAAUAUAAGUUGAUAUAAAAUUAUCAAGAGGAUUGAUAUCCACUUUAGAUGUUCAAAUCACAGCUUCCAUUGACUUCAGUAGCAGCUGUGAGUGCUCAACACUUCUGCCUAUCAGACCCAAGGUAUGUCAAGUUGGGCCCCCAGAAAAUGAGAAACACACAGUGUGACAGUCUCUAUCCCUAUGUUCACCCUUUUUACAAAACUAUGAUAAAUUUUGUACAAAAUGUACCUUGUGAGGUAUCAUUUGAAAACUCAUAAUUUGCUGAUCAUUAUUGUCCUGGUGAAGUGUGUGGCAACAUUGUAUGUAAAGUUAUAAAAUUCUACUGGCAUGACAUUGCUGAGAUGUGUUCCAAGUUUAGAAAAGCACGCACAAACCAGUUCCUGAGAGACAAAAGGCAAACUGACACCUCAGCCAGGUGUCAACAAAAUCAAAUGGACUGGCACCUGGUUAAGCAGCCAUUCUUUGGCAAGAAAAAGGGUGUGAGCAAGAAAUCUAUUUUUUGACAAAGAAACAGCUGGAGGCCCCCAGCACCACAGACUUGCUGUCUCCUGAAUGUCAGCUGGUGAUGAUUUUCAAAGUAUACGAAAGGGGAACAGAUGCUCCAAAAGUGCUGUCCCUUCAUCUCUACUCAUGCAUCGACAACACUUGAAGAACACAAGAAGCAUAAUUGGACUGGGGAGGGAUCCUGGCAGAAGAAAUUCAGCCAGUAAUAGUGCCCAAACAUGGUGAGAGAGACUUUUGCUUUGAAAUCACUUAGCUUGUUAAGUUAGGUGUGAGUUGCUUUUUACCUUUUAUUUCUUUGUAACCAGUUCCGACUUUUAUGUCUCAUUACCUGUAAUCACUUAAAAUCUAUCUUUCUGUAGUUAAUAAACUUGUUUCAUUGUUUUAUCUAAA